UACGUAGGGUGCGAGCGUUGUCCGGAAUUAUUGGGCGUAAAGAGCUCGUAGGCGGUUUGUCGCGUCUGUCGUGAAAGCUUGGGGCUUAACCCCAAGUCUGCGGUGGAUACGGGCAGACUAGAGGCAGGUAGGGGAGAACGGAAUUCCCGGUGUAGCGGUGAAAUGCGUAGAUAUCGAGAGGAACACCUGCGGCGAAGGCGGGUUGCUGGGCUGAUACUGACGCUGAGGCGCGAAAGCCAGGGGAGCGAACGGG
rnacentral:rRNA from 1 species